GCCGGGGAGGCAGCGGUUCCUUGUACCUGCAUUCCGCUAAGCAGGGGUGUUACCGUUUAUAAGGGCUGCUCCGUUCGGACUGUGCCGCAUAACCCGUAUGUUGACCGGUUGGUCCUUUCGCAACCGGGACCCGCGAACCAUGUCAGGUGGGGAACCAAGCAGCAUUAAGCGGUCAUCCCGGUGUGCCGGAAGGGUGCCUGCCGCGAGUACGGGCUGCGG
rnacentral:SRP_RNA from 1 species